CUUACUACUUUCCUGAUCUGAUCCGCCGUUGACUUCCAUGUUUUGUAUUAAUUUCACUGACAUAUUUUCGAUGGUUUGUUCGAAAUAUGCUUUGGUAAGUCCCUCCGCUUUUGUCUGGCUCAUCAUGUGGAGCUGGGUUAGGAUCUUGUUCUAUGUUUUCAGCGCCAUCCUGUAGAGCGGCCUGUGUAGCCUCUGAGGUUGCUGCUGCUUUGUUGUUUAAAAAGCUUAUUUUGUCCGCUUU